rnacentral:rRNA from 1 species
GACGAACGCUGGCGGCGUGCCUAAUACAUGCAAGUUGAGCGAUGAAGAUUGGUGCUUGCACCAAUUUGAAGAGCAGCGAACGGGUGAGUAACGCGUGGGGAAUCUGCCUUUGAGCGGGGGACAACAUUUGGAAACGAAUGCUAAUACCGCAUAACAACUUUAAACAUAAGUUUUAAGUUUGAAAGAUGCAAUUGCAUCACUCAAAGAUGAUCCCGCGUUGUAUUAGCUAGUUGGUGAGGUAAAGGCUCACCAAGGCGAUGAUACAUAGCCGACCUGAGAGGGUGGUCGGCCACAUUGGGACUGGGACACGGCCCAAGCUCCUACGGGAGGCAGCAGUAGGGAAUCUUCGGCAAUGGACGAAAGUCUGACCGAGCAACGCCGCGUGAGUGAAGAAGGUUUUCGGAUCGGAAAACUCUGUUGGUAGAGAAGAACGUUGGUGAGAGUGGAAAGCUCAUCAAGUGACGGUAACUACACAGAAAGGGACGGCUAACUACGUG